UACGGAGGGUGCGAGCGUUAUUCGGAAUUACUGGGCGUAAAGCGCGUGUAGGCGGGGAGACAAGUCUGAUGUGAAAGCCCUGGGCUUAACCUGGGAAGCGCAUUGGAAACUGUUUUUCUUGAGUACUGGAGGGAAGGGGGAAUUCCCGGUGUAGAGGUGAAAUUCGUAGAGAUCGGGAGGAAUACCAGUGGCGUAGGCGCCCUUCUGGACGGUAACUGACGCUGAGACGCGAAAGCGUGGGGAGCAAACAGG
rnacentral:rRNA from 1 species